rnacentral:lncRNA from 1 species
GUGAUGUUGAAAUACGCCACAAAGUCUCGUAGAGAUUCUCCAUCUUACUAUUUGAUGGAGAAAAGGCUAUCAAAAGUUUGUGGCAUUCUUCGAUUGGUGCCAAAGUGCUCCAUAAAAAGCAGUUCGAACUGCUCGAACAAAUGGAUACUCCUUAGUUGACGUUCGGAGUAUCAUGUUCGGAUAGUUUUCCAGAGAGUAACCAAAAAGACUAUAUAAAAGAG